rnacentral:rRNA from 1 species
CGGAGGGUGCGAGCGUUGUUCGGAAUUACUGGGCGUAAAGCGCGUGUAGGCGGCUACUAAGUCUGGUGUGAAAUCCCGAGGCUUACCCUCGGAAGUGCACUGGAAACUGGGUAGCUAGAGUACCGGAGAGGAGGGUGGAAUUCCUGGUGUAGCGGUGAAAUGCGUAGAUAUCAGGAAGAACACCGGUGGCGAAGGCGGCCCUCUGGACGGAUACUGACGCUGAGACGCGAAAGCGUGGGUAGCAAACAGGAUUAGAUACCCUGGUAGUCCACGCCCUAAACGAUGUCAACUAGGUGUUGGGAGGGUAAAACCUUUUAGUACCGGAGCUAACGCGUGAAGUUGACCGCCUGGGGAGUACGGCCGCAAGGUUA